AUAUUCAUUACAAAAAUAUCACUUCCGUUGUCUUUUGUUUCUGUGGAAGCUACACUUGUAUACAAAUAAAAGAUGGAUUCCUAUGCAGGAAUACAACCGAAAACGUCCCCAGCGGCUCCAAUACUGUGACAGUAGUGCUGUCGGUGUUGUUAUCAUUGGCC